rnacentral:rRNA from 1 species
UACGGAGGGCGCGAGCGUUAAUCGGAAUUACUGGGCGUAAAGCGCGCGUAGGCUGUUGUGUAAGUUGGGGGUGAAAUCCCACGGCUCAACCGUGGAACAGCCCUUGAUACUGCGCGACUUGAAUCCGGGAGAGGGUGGCGGAAUUCCAGGUGUAGGAGUGAAAUCCGUAGAUAUCUGGAGAAACAUCAGUGGCGAAGGCGGCCACCUGGACCGGUAUUGACGCUGAGGCGCGAAAGCGUGGGGAGCAAACAGG